UAAAUUCUCUCCAGGGAACCGAAUUACAGUGCCACCCAAUAGGUCCCUGUUCCAAGGAAGGGUAGGUGUGUAGGUGGCAGGCCUACGGGGUAAAGUAAAAGCUUUCCAGCACGAAAGAACCAGCAGCAUCAAGGGCUGGGAAAGUACUUCUUUAACAAAGGAAGGAUCAAGAACCUGAGAUUGUGUAAAAGAGUCUGCAAAUCCACACCACCAGGAUUACCAGGACCACUUCUGAUACCAACCAUCUUAGAAUCAGCUCCUGGGAAAUAAACACUGAGACGGAGAAUUCCAUGAAGAAGGUUUUCCGGAGUGCACCCAAAUAAAGGAAUAAUAUCAGCCACUUUCCAUAGUGAAACAGACUGCUAAGGAUAUCUACCUCAUAAGCCUUCACUCACCAACCAUGGAAGCAUGCAUGUGCAAACACAUAUACAUGGAGGAACUUUUGUUCUGGUUUUGCCCUGUGGACACUUCAGCAGAGAUGUGUCCAUCGGUUCUGCAGUGAAGGACAGUCAAUGAUCAGACCAAGUCACAGCGGGAGAUCAGGCAAGAGCAGAACCUACCGGUGGGUGGUCCUGGCUGCCCCUUGGCCCAGACAGCAGCACCCCUGAGCCCACCGCCACAUACCUUUCAAAUGUCCACUGCACUCACUGCUGUUUAGAAAGGAUAGUCUUGUGAUUGACAAUUGGUAUUAUGCCUGGGAUAUUUCAAAGUACCUACGUUAUUUUCCCUGAGCCUCACUCCAUUCCCGGGAGUCUGAUAUCAUCCUAAUUUCACAAAUAGGAAAACCCAGACAAGAGAUUCUCCAUCAUCACACGGAGAAAUUGAGGUUAGGACCAAAUGUCUUUGUUUCCAGGCCGAUGUUCUUCAGGUGACACCACGGAUGCUGUCACCCAAAAAUAUUUAUAUGACUGAUGGCACUACUUGCUUCAUUCAGACGUCAGUGGUUUAUUGCCAAUAUCUUGAAUUCUCUGCCCUAUGACCCUUUUUAAUCUGGACCACUUAUUCCUCCAUAGCAUUGUAAGUGUCAAACACUGAAAGCUCGACGAUAACUCAAGUAUCACCAAUGUGGUGACACACGUCUACCAUCCCAGAGACACGGGAGGCCAAGGCAGAAGGAUCACAAGUUCAGCCAGCCUUAGCAACUUAGCAAA